AUACGAACCGUCCAAACGUUACUCGGAAUCACUGGGCUUAAAGGGUGCGUAGGCGGCCUUGUAAGUUGGGUGUGAAAUGCCUCGGCUCAACCGAGGAAUUGCGCUCAAAACUGCAAGGCUUGAGGGAGAUAGAGGUGAGCGGAACUUAGGGUGGAGCGGUGAAAUGCGUUGAUAUCCUAAGGAACACCGGUGGCGAAAGCGGCUCACUGGGUCUCUACUGACGCUGAGGCACGAAAGCUAGGGGAGCGAAGAGGAUUAGAUACCCUCGUAGUCCUAGCCGUAAACGUUGAGCACUAGAUCGGAGGAUCCCCUAUAGUCUUCUGGUCGUAGCGAAAGUGUUAAGUGCUCCGCCUGGGGAGUAUGGUCGCAAGGCUGAA
rnacentral:rRNA from 1 species